rnacentral:lncRNA from 1 species
UGAGAGUUUUUUUUUCAGUAGUCAGGCUUUUAUAAUCCCUGUACAUCACCACCUGACUAUGAUUUUAAGUGGUUUGGUAUAUCAAACAAAAAAAUUGAAUAAUUGAUUAAUAAUAACAAAGAGUAAAUAAAUGUACAAUGUAGACAAAAAAAAAGGAAAAAAAUAUACAGCAAUUGCUUUUUUAUAUACAAAUUUAUAAAAAAUCUUCCCAUAGAGGUGUAAUACCAUCAAAUCAUAGUACGUCACAUCUGGUUGCAUACGGAAAGGGGUAGACAAAAUACUCCCUUGAAUUUGAGAGCUGUAUGAAAUUAAUCCUGCAUUUCAUUGCAGUAAAAAAAAUUCUGAGUCCUAAACAUAUAUCUUGGGUGGUUCAUUUUUUUUUAUUCGGUGUUUCAAUAAAAUAGUUUGAAAAAUUGAAGUUACAUGGUCACUAAAGCUUGUAAACAUGAAAGGAAGUGUAGACAUUUGAUUGAUGUACUACAAGUGCUGAUUUUUAUCUUAUAUACGUUUAAAUGUUAUGUGAAAUCUUUUCUGUAGUACUGGACAGGAUAAAACGUUACUGAUACCCAGUAGUUCUUUAUUUGAAACAAAGAUAGAUUCUGCUAAUUUUUUAAAAAUUGCAAAUUUAACAUAGACUAAAAGGGAAAAAUAAUGGUAGUAUUACACCUCGAUAUUAUGUAAGUACAGAAUGUAUCAAUCGAAAAUUGAACGCAAAUAUAGAACAAUAUACAAAUACACUACUAGAUGCAUUUUACAACACAAUAUAAAAGGAGUCGUUAACGGUAAUGACAGGACUCUAAACAGGAUAGAGCAUUUUCAUUGACAAACAAGGUUAGUAUACACUCUAGACAUAAAUAAACAUAUCUGUUAAAAGCAACUAACAGCAGUUUGUGUUACAAAAUUGAAUGUUCUAUACAACAUGUAAAUCUAACCCCACAUGUCUGUUUUUCUGACAACAAAGGAAUAAUAAUAAUGCUUGCCACUAAUACAGCAAUAACUGUUGAUCCUCAUUGAUAUAUGAUUUCUUGUCGACAUCAAGAUUGGUUCGUGUUUCUUAAUCUUAAGUUUUCUAUGUGGUGGACUGAUGUUUAAGUAAAAACAAAUCCGGGUGAAAAACUAAAAACAUAGAAAACACAUCAAAUAUAAGAGGAAAACAAUGGAACAACAGAAACACUAAAUUACAACAAAUGCAAACGCUGACAUCCAAAGAAACGAGCUGUCUGAUAACAACUGUCAUACUCAUAACUUGGUACAGGACAAUCUAAGAAAAAUGAUUGGUUGAAACUCGGUUUUAUGGCUAUCCAAACCUCAAGCUUAUAUAGCAAUGUUAAAAAAACGUUAACACGUACAGUUGUCAUAUCGCAUAUUUUGGUAUUUAGUUGCAGCUUUGCCAUCGUCAAUUAAUAGAAAUGUUGAAUUAUAUUUAAAAACGUAUUACAUACUAUUUGCCUUAUCAUUUAU